rnacentral:rRNA from 1 species
UUAAGCGACUAAGCGUACACGGUGGAUGCCCUGGCAGUCAGAGGCGAUGAAGGACGUGCUAAUCUGCGAUAAGCGUCGGUAAGGUGAUAUGAACCGUUAUAACCGGCGAUUUCCGAAUGGGGAAACCCAGUGUGUUUCGACACACUAUCAUUAACUGAAUCCAUAGGUUAAUGAGGCGAACCGGGGGAACUGAAACAUCUAAGUACCCCGAGGAAAAGAAAUCAACCGAGAUUCCCCCAGUAGCGGCGAGCGAACGGGGAGCAGCCCAGAGCCUGAAUCAGUAUGUGUGUUAGUGGAAGCGUCUGGAAAGGCGCGCGAUACAGGGUGACAGCCCCGUACACAAAAAUGCACAUGCUGUGAGCUCGAUGAGUAGGGCGGGACACGUGGUAUCCUGUCUGAAUAUGGGGGGACCAUCCUCCAAGGCUAAAUACUCCUGACUGACCGAUAGUGAACCAGUACCGUGAGGGAAAGGCGAAAAGAACCCCGGCGAGGGGAGUGAAAAAGAACCUGAAACCGUGUACGUACAAGCAGUGGGAGCACGCUUAGGCGUGUGACUGCGUACCUUUUGUAUAAUGGGUCAGCGACUUAUAUUCUGUAGCAAGGUUAACCGAAUAGGGGAGCCGAAGGGAAACCGAGUCUUAACUGGGCGUUAAGUUGCAGGGUAUAGACCCGAAACCCGGUGAUCUAGCCAUGGGCAGGUUGAAGGUUGGGUAACACUAACUGGAGGACCGAACCGACUAAUGUUGAAAAAUUAGCGGAUGACUUGUGGCUGGGGGUGAAAGGCCAAUCAAACCGGGAGAUAGCUGGUUCUCCCCGAAAGCUAUUUAGGUAGCGCCUCGUGAAUUCAUCUCCGGGGGUAGAGCACUGUUUCGGCAAGGGGGUCAUCCCGACUUACCAACCCGAUGCAAACUGCGAAUACCGGAGAAUGUUAUCACGGGAGACACACGGCGGGUGCUAACGUCCGUCGUGAAGAGGGAAACAACCCAGACCGCCAGCUAAGGUCCCAAAGUCAUGGUUAAGUGGGAAACGAUGUGGGAAGGCCCAGACAGCCAGGAUGUUGGCUUAGAAGCAGCCAUCAUUUAAAGAAAGCGUAAUAGCUCACUGGUCGAGUCGGCCUGCGCGGAAGAUGUAACGGGGCUAAACCAUGCACCGAAGCUGCGGCAGCGACACUAUGUGUUGUUGGGUAGGGGAGCGUUCUGUAAGCCUGUGAAGGUGUACUGUGAGGUAUGCUGGAGGUAUCAGAAGUGCGAAUGCUGACAUAAGUAACGAUAAAGCGGGUGAAAAGCCCGCUCGCCGGAAGACCAAGGGUUCCUGUCCAACGUUAAUCGGGGCAGGGUGAGUCGACCCCUAAGGCGAGGCCGAAAGGCGUAGUCGAUGGGAAACAGGUUAAUAUUCCUGUACUUGGUGUUACUGCGAAGGGGGGACGGAGAAGGCUAUGUUGGCCGGGCGACGGUUGUCCCGGUUUAAGCGUGUAGGCUGGUUUUCCAGGCAAAUCCGGAAAAUCAAGGCUGAGGCGUGAUGACGAGGCACUACGGUGCUGAAGCAACAAAUGCCCUGCUUCCAGGAAAAGCCUCUAAGCAUCAGGUAACAUCAAAUCGUACCCCAAACCGACACAGGUGGUCAGGUAGAGAAUACCAAGGCGCUUGAGAGAACUCGGGUGAAGGAACUAGGCAAAAUGGUGCCGUAACUUCGGGAGAAGGCACGCUGAUAUGUAGGUGAAGUCCCUCGCGGAUGGAGCUGAAAUCAGUCGAAGAUACCAGCUGGCUGCAACUGUUUAUUAAAAACACAGCACUGUGCAAACACGAAAGUGGACGUAUACGGUGUGACGCCUGCCCGGUGCCGGAAGGUUAAUUGAUGGGGUUAGCCGCAAGGCGAAGCUCUUGAUCGAAGCCCCGGUAAACGGCGGCCGUAACUAUAACGGUCCUAAGGUAGCGAAAUUCCUUGUCGGGUAAGUUCCGACCUGCACGAAUGGCGUAAUGAUGGCCAGGCUGUCUCCACCCGAGACUCAGUGAAAUUGAACUCGCUGUGAAGAUGCAGUGUACCCGCGGCAAGACGGAAAGACCCCGUGAACCUUUACUAUAGCUUGACACUGAACAUUGAGCCUUGAUGUGUAGGAUAGGUGGGAGGCUUGGAAGUGUGGACGCCAGUCUGCAUGGAGCCGACCUUGAAAUACCACCCUUUAAUGUUUGAUGUUCUAACGUUGACCCGUAAUCCGGGUUGCGGACAGUGUCUGGUGGGUAGUUUGACUGGGGCGGUCUCCUCCUAAAGAGUAACGGAGGAGCACGAAGGUUGGCUAAUCCUGGUCGGACAUCAGGAGGUUAGUGCAAUGGCAUAAGCCAGCUUGACUGCGAGCGUGACGGCGCGAGCAGGUGCGAAAGCAGGUCAUAGUGAUCCGGUGGUUCUGAAUGGAAGGGCCAUCGCUCAACGGAUAAAAGGUACUCCGGGGAUAACAGGCUGAUACCGCCCAAGAGUUCAUAUCGACGGCGGUGUUUGGCACCUCGAUGUCGGCUCAUCACAUCCUGGGGCUGAAGUAGGUCCCAAGGGUAUGGCUGUUCGCCAUUUAAAGUGGUACGCGAGCUGGGUUUAGAACGUCGUGAGACAGUUCGGUCCCUAUCUGCCGUGGGCGCUGGAGAACUGAGGGGGGCUGCUCCUAGUACGAGAGGACCGGAGUGGACGCAUCACUGGUGUUCGGGUUGUCAUGCCAAUGGCACUGCCCGGUAGCUAAAUGCGGAAGAGAUAAGUGCUGAAAGCAUCUAAGCACGAAACUUGCCCCGAGAUGAGUUCUCCCUGACUCCUUGAGAGUCCUGAAGGAACGUUGAAGACGACGACGUUGAUAGGCCGGGUGUGUAAGCGCAGCGAUGCGUUGAGCUAACCGGUACUAAUGAACCGUGAGGCUUAACCUU